GGGGGGGGGAGUAAAUUUAUAAAGAAAAAAUCUAGGUAUGAAAAUAAUUUCAUAUUUUCUAAUCUUCGAUGGAAACAACCCAAGCAUAAUACUUUUAAGAAGCUAAAUAUAGUGUAGUUCUAAAUAUUUACCAUCUUUCUUAUUUAAUAUAAGCUAUAACUCAUUUUAUUGGUUAAAAUUUACACUUGUCUUGUACAUUCAGACU